UUCUUCUGUCUCAUCCCUCCCUUCAUCAUCCCUCACCCCACCUUUCCAUCCCCAUCUCUCUCCUCCUCUCCUUACUUUGUCCAUCCUCCCACCCCCCAGCCACCUCUACCUCCGUAUUCCUCUCUCACCUCUCUAUCAUUCUCUCACUGAUGCUACAUCACUCCACACCGUCUCCUUUCUUGUCUCCCUCUCUUCUUUCCAUCUGCUCCCUCGUUCGCUCCACUAGCUCGUUGCCAGCUGUCAGCUCUAUUGCACCAGCGGAGCAACAACUGGCUUCUGCCGGCACUGAGAUCGAAGGGAGGAAGGUGAGAGCGGCAGAAGGAGUGGAGAAGGUAAAGAGAAAGAACAGGAAGGAGGAAGAAGUCUUUUGUUCAACACCUAUCCCGCUGCUCGUUUCUCUCUCUCCCUCUCUUUCUCUGAGAGCCGCAGCAUCAGCACCACUGCCGCCGCUGCUCUAGGAUCCUCCGUCUCCUGCCUGGAUCUGCCUCCUCCUCCUCCUCUGGGAGUGUUUCCUAGAAGUGGGAGGGGGAGGGAACUCAUCACCUAUCAGUUUGCCGUGGACUCGCAGCAAGGCUUUCAGCAGGAAGAGAGAAGGAAUGAAGGGGAAGUACAUUUUAAACGAGAUGGAGCUGGAGAACAGAGAGAAGGCGACUCCCGGCUUAUGAGAGACCAGAGACCAGGGGAUCGGAGUACUGAACAGACCCAGGCAGGAGCAGCAAAUCCCCGCUUCAGCGCGGGAUCAGGCCUUGAAGCAGACAAAGGCCGCGCUACCGGGCGGUGAGACAGACUGUCAAUGCCACCACUGAAGUUUUCUCUACACAGAAAAGCCAUUGAUGGAGCAAGGCGUCUUCAAUCAAUGCAACUGGCCCACUUUCUCUGUAUGUGUGUGUUUGCCUUCGAAGCAUGACUGGGGGGAGCUGCCGAUGGUGGAGGCGGUGGCCAUAGUGGUGGUGAUGAUGAUGAUGAUGCGAUGGCAGUGGCACUGCUCACGCGGUUUCUGGCUUAGCUUCCUGUUUUCACUGAAAGACUCUCUUCGGUGACGGGUAUUCUUGGGUGGAUAAUACGGAUCACGUUGUUAUUGCUUAAGAAUACGCGUAGUUGAGGAGAGUCCUCUCUUCGCCAAAUCUCAGCAGCACCCAGAGCCCCAGACACCCACCCACCCCACCUCACCUCACCUCACCUCGACAACCUACCCAGCCGUCAAGGUGUGUCAGGUUGGGUGAAGCAGCAACACCCCACUCCACCGUUCAGAACUAAACGACCCCUUCAUUUACAUCAUCGGUAUGUUUUAUUUCUGUUAGGGGCUGUACAUCUGUCUCUGUAACCAUGGUGAUGGACAUGGUGUGUGUGUGUGAGUGUGUGUGUGUGCGUGUGCUGGUUUGUUUUACUCCUUGAUUCCACCGGCCCUGGCGGCUCCAUCUGCAUGAGUGACGCACGGCAGCAUGAGCAUGGUCCUGCAGAUUUACAUCUUCACAUGUAACCACUGCCUUGGUGCCCAAAAGCAACACACAGUUCACCAUCCAGGCUCCAUCUGUACCCCCGGUUUCCACAAAAAUGCUGCGUUCUUCUACCGAUGGUUGCGUGACAUCGUUUAUAAACAGGGUGGAGCCAACAGGCGCUGUCAGAGGUUGUGUGAGGCUCAUGAUGUUGACGUGGAAGGAGGAAGGACAAGGUGGUGGGACAAACAUGUCCGGUGUAAAACGGGGGUUCCUGCAUCUGUCCACGUUUUAGGGUUAGGGGGUUUCUUCCACUUAUCUCACUCACUAAUGUCUAUGUCAUCCUUAAAUAGAACCAGUUAGAAGGUAAAAGUGUGUGAUGGAAAUAAAGUAAAAUAGAAAAACUAACAUGUUUUAAUUUUAAACCUGUAGGAACUCAUCUUUUACCCUCAAAGCUGUUUUAGAGGGGAAAUGAACCCAAGCUACACCCUCGGUGUCUAGUGAAUGCUAAACCCUUCAGAUGCUUCAUUUCAUCUGGGUGCUGAAUGAUCAUUUUUGCAGAAAUAAGAGGAGGGAGAAGAGUUGUUGAAGUUGAUUUUAACACGAUCUCUCACAAUCUGCAGGUGGUCUAAAUUUUCAUUUCAUUUGAUGACACAAAAAUUAGGCACAUAAUAAUUCCCUGUGAAAUCAAAAGUAUUGUCACGGUGCUGAUUAAUACGAGCUAACUUUUUAAAUUAAUGAAGUAUCAGUUGGUGGUACUGUGUGCUAAUCCAUGGGCUCUGUUUAUUGAGUGGAACCUCCCUUUAUCUGACUCCAUGUAAUGCAUUUAUUCUCAGGCUAAGCUGAGCCAAGCCGCCUCCCCGUUUCCCCUUUUUUUAUGCAAAUGUCGGCUCAGAUGGCAUUUAUCGCAGCGAGCUUUAUGCUACUUGUAACACGGCUGCUGUAGCUGAGCCUCACACACACACACACACACACACACACACACACACACACACACACACACACACACACACACACAGCUGAGAAAAGAAAAUGUCUACCACUCGACAACUCAAUUUAUGCAUCGAGGAGAGAGGCGUCUAGAUAAACAAUUACCCUUGGCUCAAAUGGUCUAUAACCAGCAUUUUCUAUGUUGCCGUGGCGAUGCACCAUGAAUAUGGAUUCCCUCUCCAUGUCUGAUGGCACAUUCUCAACCCUAACACCCAUGCAAAAUCCAUUUAAACACCUAAUAGGAUCAGCUUGACUCAUGCAGCCAUGCCCUCACACGUCACCUCCCAUCAUCGCUCCGGGCCGGUGUUCCACAAAAGGAAAAAAAAUCCCACCAGCCAUUCUGAAUUUAUUGUCUAAAAGAAAAUGCUCUGGUAGAAAUGAGCUUUACGUUUAAGUGUGUUUGAUGCCUCGUUGAGCAAAUUUCACAAAUGUUUCAAAAAUAUUCAAAUAACACAAUUCUUUAUGUAGACCGGGCCCUGCUAACAGGGUUCCUGCCACGUGGAACCAGUCGCAUGGAAGGGUAGGAGAACCUGAAGGGGGACGAUGGUGGCCUGACUUGUUCUGUGUGUUGCUCGUCAGAAUGCUGUUCUCGCUGUGUGUGUCUGUCGGUUUGUUUAUGCUGCUGUAGAGGCCCAGCUGACUGACAUCACUGCUGCCAUGGCAACCAGGUGAAAACACUCCCAUUCACUAGAACACUGGAAGUCUGAUCAUGCCCUACAGAUGGAUUCACAACGAAGACACGCUCUGACUACAACACAAGCUUAAGAUGCUAACACGACACUGUGUAAGAGCAUUUAAACAGCAGGUUUGUUGGCUGUAAACACACACACACACACACACACACACACACAGACACACACACACACACACACACACACACACACACACACACACACACACACACACACGUCUGCACAUGGAUGUGUUACGAAGUGCGAUCUCAGUGUCAUUCUGUGUGCCAGCCUGUUUCUGAACUGCCUGCCUGUUGCCAGACUGUUACAGAGUGCUGCCGUGUUGUAAAACACACGCGUGUUACAUCAUCACCAGACUUUUUAUGAGCUGAUCAAUCAUCCCAUGUCUCACUGAUACGGUAAACUCUGGUGCUGCUUUCAUCACGCGAGUGCAGACGUUUCUGAUCCCUGUCCUCCUCCUCAUUAUUAUUAUUAUUAUUAUUAUUAUUAUUAUUAUUAUUAUUAUUAUUAUUAUUAUGCAGAAGAGCUGCUGUGGUUGUUGGUUGUUUAAAGAUCAGCAGGAGAAAUUCUGUUUUCCAUGUAUUUGUGUCUUUUUCUGUAGAAUCUUGUCUGUAAAUAUAAAUAAAUCAUUUUCUCAAAAAAUAAAUGUGAUGCGACGCCUUAAUUUAGCAUUUGUUGCACAUAAUAAUAAAUAGAACCUUUGUUUUCAAAGCCUAAUCUGCAGAAUUAUGCAGAAUAAUGUCUGAUGAUUAGAAGAAUGUUGAAUUUCCUCCGUAUAAAUAUUGAAGCAACGUUUGAUUUUCGUUUUCCUGACCCCAGACACAAACUGAACUUCACUAACACCAUCAGCUCUUUUUGCUGUGCUGGACGAUGAAAUCGGACCAAACAUAAACUCGGUAUUUGGGCCGGAGAAGGUUUUGUGAUUUUGUGAUGAUUUCAUACUUUUGACAUUUAGGGCUCUGAAAACCCAAACUUCCUUUUGUUGUUUUCUUUCCCAGACACAAACAAGAACACAUCACAUGAAGAAUGGCAGGUUGGUUUGGUGGAGAUCACCCAGGGCUCCUUCGUUGGUAUUCAGCGUAGAAAACUGAUCUCCUGUCAGCGGCUCUUAUCGCUCACGCACAGAUUAGCAUAUAAUAUCCUUUUUAAUUUAGCCCCCAAACACCACGAGCAUCUUAGUACGUUUUAUCAGCUGUAAUCCCGUUAAAACUGCUUUCAUUAGAAUCCCAAACAGUCGGAGCAGCCGGGCGUGAUCCCAACGCUUUAAUUAUUGUCUCAGACACACUUCCACCAGUCAGCAGCCAGAUCUCAGUUUCUAUGUAAUAACUCCGUUGUUAUCGGCUGGUGUGAUGGAGUUCCCAGACUGGCGGAGGCUUUGCUGGUGGAGCUGUUUGCAGGCCACUCAUUACUUAUUAAGAACACUAUUAAGGAAAAGUGACUGUAAUGAUGGGAUGGAUCGGGCCUGGGCUCAUUUACCAAAAAGGCCACAGGAAAUAUUCAGCGAUCGGUUCAAAUUAAUUAUGCAUCAUCUUUACUUUGUUCUGUAUGGCCUCUGAGAUUAUACACCCCCAGUCGGUCACAUUCUGCUACUAAAUACUGUUUAAAAUCAUGAUUAAUGUCAGACUUUACCAGGGUUUAUGUUUAUAAAACAAGAGGGUUUAAAAUGUUUCUGUGUUAGAACAAAAAACUAUUUCCUGGAAGACAUCAGUGAUCCGCCCUUAAACCGUCACCAUGGCGAUACAGCCUCACCUACACUUUCAUCAGAUAAUCUUCAGAGGAAGAUUUAUCUUCUGGAAGUUUUCUGCUCACUAAAAAUAAACAUUUUGGUUAAAUCCUGAAGACUGGUUUAUUUUCUCUGUCAGAUGUUUUCAUUUAAAAGAACAAAAUGUUGCCAAUUAUCAAGUUUCCAACAAAUAUUUUAUUUAGUUUAUUUGAUAAAAUGUACAAGACGAAUAUUGUCCACAAGAAUUUUCACAGCCAUUUUAAAUUAUUUGUAU